AAACUUUACUCUUUCUUUUGUCUCUUCCAUGGAAUAAAGUGUGGUGGGUGGAAUAGCAGAUAAGGCAAUUUGCAGUGCUCAUCAGUCGUCACCAGUGCGCGAAUUUCUUCUCACUUUCUUCAUUUGUAUCGCUUGAUGUUUUAAAAUUGUAAGUUUUAUUAUUUCAAUGUUUUUUACAUUUUCAAAUUGCCAAUUUUAUUAUAUAUUCAUGUUUGAUUUUUGUGUUGCCAUAUAUGAAUAUUUUUGCCAUUAUUAAAAGAUUUAAGAACACAUUAAUUUAUUAAGAUUAGUACACUAUACAAUGAAAUUUUAAUGAAGACCCAUAAUAUUUUAUCUAGUUCUAUAACUGUAAUUUUCAUGUAUAUUUUUAUUAUGAAGAAUUUUUUUCUUUGAAUGAUAAAUAUCAUACUUAUUCGAUAAAUAUAUUUCUUUGAAUAGCCAUGGAUAAAUAUUUAAGAAAGAAUUUAGCAAUUGCAACCUCAUUAGGAAAAAUGAGUAGCAAUUCAAAAGAAAACGUUAAUCUUAAUUUGCAUGAUCUUCCAAGGGAUCCCGAUUUACGAACAGUAAUUUCAAAAUUAGAUCCUAAGAUUCAAGAUGAAGUUCGAAGAGCAUAUUUGCAAAUGGGUCCUUUUCAACCUUAGAGCCAUGAUUUUCCAAUUAGGUUGUUAGGAGAAAAAUCAUGACGAUUUUUCCGGAGUUGGUUUGAUAAUUAUCUAGAUUGGUUAGAAUAUAGUAUAGUAAAGGAUGCAACAUUUUGUCUUUAUUGUUAUGUUUUCAGAGAAGAAAAUGGUAGUCAAGGGCCUGGUCCAUGCUUUAUUGGUGAAGGGUUUAGAAAUUGGAAGAAAAAAGAAAUGUUGAGACAACAUGUUGGUGGUGUAAAUAGUGCUCAUAAUAUAGCAAGGCGUCAUUGUAAAUCAUUGAUCAAUCAAAAGGCACAUGUUGCUACAUUUUUCUUUAACCAUUCUAAAAAAAUUAAAAAGGAAUACCGACUUUGUUUAACUGUUGUAAUUGAUUGCAUUCGAUUUCUUUUGAGAGAAGGCCUUGCAUUAUGUGGUAAUAAUGGAUCUCAAAGUUCAAAUAAUAGAGGAAACUUACUUGAGCUUUUACAAUUUCUUGUUGAUCACAAUGAUGAAAUUAAAGAUCUUAUUUUCAACAAUGCUCCAGCAAAUCUCCAAAUGACAUCCCCUGAUAUUCAGAAACAAAUUGUAAGUGUUUGUUUAACUGAAACUUCUAAAGCUAUCAUUAAAGAAAUUAGUGACUCUUUAUUUUCAGUUAUGAUUGAUGAAUCUCAUGACAUAUCCAUAAAAGAGCAAAUGUCAGUUGUGUUGCAUUAUGUGGAUAAAAAAGGACAUGUGGUUGAACGUUUUAUUGGUAUUAAACAUGUUAUUGAUACUGUCAAAGCAUCACUCGACACACUAUUUGCUAGACAUUGAUUAAGCAUGUCUAGGUUGCGUGGGCAAGGAUAUGAUGGUACUGGUAACAUGCAAGGCGAACUUAAUGGUUUGAAAACACUCAUUUUAAAAGAGAAUGAAUCAGCUUAUUACAUUAUUGUUUUGCCCAUUAAUUGCAGUUGGCCCUUGUUUUUGUGGCAAAAAAACACUAAGAAGUUAAUGAUUUGUUUAGUUUAGUUGCUAAAGUUUUUAACAUUGUUGCAGCCUCAUCUAAACGAUCUGAUAUCCAUAGAGAGAAGCAUGUUGUUGCAGCUAUUGAAGCACUUAAAAUGGGUGAGCUUUAAAGCG
rnacentral:lncRNA from 1 species